UGAGCCAAGUUUAGGGUUUUCUCAAAACCCAAGCAGUAUUGAACUGAAGAGUUUGAUCAUGGCUCAGAUUGAACGCUGGCGGCAGGCCUAACACAUGCAAGUCGAGCGGAUGAAGGGAGCUUGCUCCUGGAUUCAGCGGCGGACGGGUGAGUAAUGCCUAGGAAUCUGCCUGGUAGUGGGGGAUAACGUCCGG
rnacentral:rRNA from 1 species